rnacentral:rRNA from 1 species
CCUACGAGAGGCAGCAGUAGGGAAUGUUGCGCAAUGGGCGAAAGCCUGACGCAGCAACGCCGCGUGAAUGAGACGUUCUUCGGGGUGUAAAGAUCUGUUAGUGGGGACGAACAAUGACGAUACCUGCCGAGGACGCACCGGCUAACUCCGUGCCAGCAGCCGCGGUAAUACGGAGGUUGCAAGCGUUGUCCGGAAUCAUUGGGGGUAACGGGUGCGUAGGCGGCAUGUAAAGUACGGUGUUAAACGCGCAGGCUUAACCUGGGUAUGGCACUUGAUACUUGCAAGCUGGAGUGCAGUAGAGGUAAGGGGAAUUCCUGGUGUAGCGGUGAAAUGCUUAGAUAUCAGGAGGAACAUCAGUGGCGUAGGCGCUUUACUGGGCCGUAAUUGACGCUGAGGAACGAAAGCCGGGGUAGCAAAUAGGAUUAGAUACCCGGGUAGUC